UUUAUGGAGAGUUUGAUCCUGGCUCAGGAUGAACGCUGGCGGCGUGCCUAAUACAUGCAAGUCGAGCGAACAGAUGAGGAGCUUGCUCCUUUGACGUUAGCGGCGGACGGGUGAGUAACACGUGGGUAACCUACCUAUAAGACUGGAAUAACUCCGGGAAACCGGGGCUAAUGCCGGAUAACAUGUUGAACCGCAUGGUUCAACAGUGAAAGACGGUCUUGCUGUCACUUAUAGAUGGACCCGCGCCGUAUUAGCUAGUUGGUAAGGUAACGGCUUACCAAGGCGACGAUACGUAGCCGACCUGAGAGGGUGAUCGG
rnacentral:rRNA from 1 species